CCUGCCUUUCGACCCAUGACGGCGGCAGCAGAAGCGGAAGUGAAGCUCAGCCUGGGAAUGUUCCUGAGCCGCCGCUUCCCCGCCACGGAGGGACACGGAGCAAUUAAGUUGUGCUUGGUGAAGGAGGUGGAUGGAUGAAGUGGCAGAGGGCUGGAACAGCCUCUACACUUACAGAUCUACAGAGAUAACUUGUUCUGGCUGACACCACCCUCUGCAUGCCCAUCUUGCAGCCCAGAGUGUCUAAAAUGAACAAUUGCCAUGAUCAUCCAGCUCACACCUGAAAAGAGGCAAUUCAAGCAGCCUCAUUUGAGGCUCUUUUGCUUAAAUAUACUAACGGUAUUUCCCAUCUUAUCUGUUUCUUCCCAGACCUUAUGUUCAUCUAUCUCUGUGUAACUGCCUGCCUGCAUUGUGUGUCAUGAUAAUACUGCGCAAUGUCGUUUUGUACACUGGAGGCAGAGAAUAUACAGCUGACAAAUGAAUUGGUCAGACUUGUGCAGAGGAACAGACAAUUUCUAGAUUAGUUUCCAAGUUUACUGCAAUUUUCCUAGUUUACUGCAAGCGUGUUAUCUUUUCUUCAAAAUUUAUCUCUCUAUGUGGUUAAACAGCUGUUGAUAAGGCUUGCCUGUAAUGCCACUUGUAAUGAUCCAAAAUAAUAUUACCCCAUGCAAUCUUGUUAUCUAUGUAUCACAGUAUCCAAAAGU